ACCCUGUUUCUUACGUUUGCUGGGUUUAGAAUUUUUAUGUCGUUCUGUUCUUUGAAAAUUGUCAGUUUUUGUUUUAGGAAAAAAAGAAAUUUUAA